rnacentral:pre_miRNA from 1 species
UCUCAUGGAUAAGCAAAGAAAGUGGUUUCUUGAGAUGGAAUCUACUCCUGAAGAUGCUAUGAA